rnacentral:lncRNA from 1 species
UAACAAUGCUCUAAUUAGACCAAAAUAAUGGUAAGUAAUCUUUAAUCAAAUUCAAAGAAAUCUCAAAGAAAUUUCAAAGAAAUAAUAAGAAAUCUUAAAGAAAUAUUAGAAUGAUCAGAAAUAUCUCUCAAAUAUAUCUCAAUUCAAUCUUAAUUUAAUUCUAGUUAAAAUCCUAUUAGACUUCAUUCAAACUUUAGGCCAAAUCUAAUUAAAUCUUAAAUCCUAAAUAAAUCCUAAUAAAAUCCUAAAUCCUAAAUUAAACCCUAAAUCCUAAAUCAAAUCCUAAUCAAACCUUGACCAAAUUCUAAACAAAUCCUAAACCAAACCCCACCAAAUUCUAAACCCUAAAUCAAAUCCUAAAUUUUAAACCAAAUUUCAACCAAAUCUUAAACCCUAAACUCUAAAUCCUAAAUCAAAUCCUAACCAAAC